AUGAGAUAUUCUGGGCAGUUGAAUAAAACGCAAACUGAGUACCAGGAAGAACUUUCCCCUUCAAAUGAGGAAAACGACUGUCUGCAAAGGCUGCUUGAAGUCGCUGUUAUUAAACCUGAGAUCAGGCUACACAUAGCAGUCUACGCUUGGCGACUCAUGACGUUUACAUUGUCAUUUUAUCCAGACCUCCAGCAGCUCACUCUCCAUGGUGAUCAGGGGGUUCCCCCUGAUCAGCAGCACUGUGUGCAAGAGUGGAGCCCUGGUCUGGGACAGGAGGACCUAGAGCCUACACAUAUUACAGAGGAACGUGGGGAGCUCAGGACCAGUCAGUGGGAAGAGCAGCUUCCAAAGCUGGAAGAUGAUACCAAAUACUCCAUAUUCACUCUUGCCUGUGUGAAAAGUGACUGUGAUGAGAACCUAAUUCUGCACUCAUAUCUUUAUCGUGGUCAACAUUAAGUUAAUGAAGAAAGGGUAUCUCUCCCCAGCACCUCAACUAAAUAGAUCCAUACAGAACCUUAUGAAGAGGACUACAUAGUAUCAGAACUAACCAGUGACUGUCAUUCUCUUGCUGCAGUAAUCCAGACUGUUCUGCAGUCAAUGGGGUGGAAAGUUAAGUCCCUCAGUCAGGUUUUAAGCCCAGCAAAUCAAAUAUAACAUGGACAGUAAAAAGACAAAGCUCCUGUGUCAAUAAUAAGGGUAGGAAUUCUACAGUCAUCCAAUCUGAAAUCACCCAGUCAACGUCAUAAUGCUUCUUGUCAUUGUAAGGUCCUUCCUUUCUACUUGCCUCCAGACAUCCUCUGUCAACAGUCAGUCUCUGGAGAGGUUCCCCCUGAGCAGCAGCACUGUGUGAAGUAGUGGAGCCCCAGCCUGGGACAGGAAGACCCAGAGCCUACACAGAUAAAGGAAGAACUCGGAACCAGUCAGUGUGAAGAGCAGCCUCAAGAACUGGAAGAUGAUACCAAAGACUCCCAUGUUCUUUCCUGCCUUUAUGGAAUAUGACUGUGAGGAUCCAACUCUGCACUCAAAUCUUUAUCAUGCCCAAAAUGAUGGAAAAGAAGAGUCUCUACCCAUCACCUCAACUGCACAAACAGAAACUGGUGGAGAUUACUACAGAGUAUCAGAACCAACUAGUGAUUCUCAGCCCAUCUCUGUAGGGAAUCCAUACUGUUCAGCAGCUCAAGAGUAAAAACAUGGAUAGGAUGGGAAUUGGAGGACCUCAGGUUAAGCCUGUAAAAUCAAAGAAAACAUGAACAGUAAAGACAAAGCUCCCAUAUAAACACUAAGGGUAAGAAAUCCAGUGUUGCCCAAUCUGAAAUCACCCAGGCAAAAUGACAAUGCACUUUGCCAUAGAAGUGUGUAGAAAGUAGUGUAUGGAAAAUCUUUCCACUACAUGGGUUCAUUAAUGAAACAUGCAAACUCAUACGAAGGAGAAAUAACCUAUUUGUGGUAUGUGGGAAAUGUUUUUGGGCCACUUUAAGUAUGAAACAUCCCAUCAAAACUCACAUUGCAGAUAUGAUGUUUGUAGUAAAUGAUUCAUUAGCAAUAGGGAUCUGAUUGUGCACAUGAGAAGCCACACUGAGCAGGAAGCGUAUCAAUGUUCUGUAAUAAAAGUCACAAUGGGGAAAAUGUGUAAGAGUGCAAUGAUUGGAGUAAAUAUUUAAUUGACAGGGGCUGCAUGAACUUCCAAAAGGCCCACGCAGGCCACUGUUAACUAUUUUGCUCAGAGUGGUGGUCAGUGCCGUUUAAGAUGAGAGAGGAUGAUACUUUUUUUAGGAGCAAGGCCUUGUUUAUAUUACAGCAUAUUGGAUGACUGUCAUUCAUAUUUCAUUCACCCAGCACCCAAUGUAACAUCGAUAGGUUUAGGCUACUAAAUGAUGCUCAAA